rnacentral:rRNA from 1 species
UGGGGAAUAUUGGACAAUGGGCGCAAGCCUGAUCCAGCCAUGCCGCGUGAGUGACGAAGGCCUUGGGGUUGUAAAGCUCUUUCGGCGGGGAAGAUAAUGACGGUACCCGCAGAAGAAGCCCCGGCUAACUCUGUGCCAGCAGCCGCGGUAAUACAGAGGGGGCAAGCGUUGUUCGGAAUCACUGGGCGUAAAGCGCACGUAGGUGGAUAGUUAAGUUCGGGGUGAAAUCCCAGGGCUCAACCCUGGAACUGCCUCGGAUACUGGCUAUCUCGAGUCCGGAAGAGGUGAGUGGAAUUCCUAGUGUAGAGGUGAAAUUCGUAGAUAUUAGGAAGAACACCGGUGGCGAAGGCGGCUCACUGGUCCGGUACUGACACUGAGGUGCGAAAGCGUGGGGAGCAAACAGGAUUAGAUACCCCCGUAGUCCCUGAGCGGGCUGGCAAGGCGCAU